GUCAAGCUACAAAGGGCUCACGGUGGAUACCUAGGC
rnacentral:rRNA from 1 species